GUAAAGCAAUAAAAUACUCACACCCCACCCCUGUGUCUCUUUAUUUCUUCCCUAAAUGGAACAAAACCCUCAUUAACCAAGCUGUUUUGAGGGAUAAGAUCUUAAUAAUACCCUUCUUUCCUGAGACAGGAGUGGGAAUCCCACAAACUAAUGUGGAUAUAAAUGAGAUCUAUGUAUAAUAUGACAUCACAGUUUGAGAAAUGAGAGUUUACAAGUUUAUCAAGGAUGCAAUAGCAAUUAGACUAGUGCAGCCCCAGAAGUCUUAGAGUUUAUAGACUAGUACUGAGCUUCUCAAUGGUAAGCUUUGUCAUUUAGGGUAGGACAAUUCUUGAACAUAAAAAUGACCCUGCAUAUUUCUGUCCCCUGGCUAGUAAUUACCUUAGAGCCUUCCGGUCAUUGAGACAGUAAAAACCUAUCAGUAUAUAUUUCCAUAUUCUCUGGGAGAGAUGAGGGGCAAUAAGAACCACUGGUUCUUAGCCAGUGGCAGUCAUCUGUAGUCCCCAGCUACUCAGGAAGGUGAGACAGGAGAAUCACUAGAAUCCAGUAGUUUGGGGCUAACCUGGGCAACAUAACAAAACCCUGUCUUUUCUGUUAGAACAGAAACAGAAAAAAAAACACACACUGGUUUAAUGGGUGAAAUUUUAAAAGUCCUAGGGUCCAGGAGUGACGGUACAUGCCUGUAAUCCCAGCCACUCAGGAAGCUGAGAUGGGAGGCUGAGACAGGAGGAUUGCAAGUUUGAGGUCAGCCUCAGUGACUU
rnacentral:lncRNA from 1 species